GAUGAACGCUGGCGGCGUGCCUAAUACAUGCAAGUCGAACGAAGACCAGCCUUUAAGACAUUCGGGUCAAAGAGGGGAAGCCUGAGUGUCGGACGGGUGAGUAACACGUUGGCAACCUGGCCCAUAGAGGGGGAUAACAGCUAGAACUUUCUGCUAAUAUUGCAUAUGCACACUCUGCUGCAUGGCAGCGGGUGAAAAGAGAAUCGCUAUGAGCGGGACGUGCGUCUGAUUAGCCAGUUGGAAGGGUAAGAGACUACCAAAGCGACGAGCAGUAGCCGAGGUGGAGAGAUGGCCGACAACAUUGGGACUGGGAGACGGCCCAAAUUCCUAGGGGAGGCAGCAGUGGGGGAUGUUGCACAAUGGGGGGAAGCCGGAGGCAGCGGCGUCGCGUGAGUGAGGAAGUAGUUCGGUAUGUAGAGCUCUAUCAGCAGGGCAGAUAGUGACGGUACCUGAAUAAGAAGCCACGGCUAACUACGUG
rnacentral:rRNA from 1 species